CAAUAGCGUAUAUUUAAGUUGUUGCAGUUAAAAAGCUCGUAGUUGGAUUUCGGGUUGGCUUCAGCGGUCUCGCUUUGAGUUUGUACUGCCGCAGCCUUCCUUCUUGCUGGGGACGGUCCUCCGGGCUUCAUUGCUUGGGGUCUGGAAUCAGCGACGUUACUUUGAGUAAAUUAGAGUGUUCAAAGCAAGCCUACGCUCUGAAUAUAAUAGCAUGGGAUAACACGACAGGACUCUGGCCUAUCGUGUUGGUCUGUAGGACCAGAGUAAUGAUUAAGAGGGACAGUCGGGGGCAUUCGUAUUCCGUUGUCAGAGGUGAAAUUCUUGGAUUUACGGAAGACGAACAUCUGCGAAAGCAUUUGCCAAGGAUGUUUUCAUUGA
rnacentral:rRNA from 1 species